CUCACGCAAUCAGUUGAAAACUGUUUCUUUGGUAGUGUUCAGGAUUCACUAAUGGAAGGUUAGGUCACUUGCGCAAACAUAAAGUGGAUAGGCCUCAUGAACAUCAUUAAAGUACUACUUUGCACUGCAAAUCUAUCAUAGAACAUGUGACUUGCACUGAAUGGGACUGAAAUAAUUGCCUUGGAGAAUGACCGCCACCCAUUGCACCCGAAGAAAUCGACCUCCCCCGGCAAACCAGAGUGGUUCUGGCUCAGUUACGUUCCGGCAGAUGCAGCCGCCUCAAUUCCCACAGAGCUAGGAUUGAUGCCGACGUGCAAGAUGUAUGUCCCGUAAUGUAACCAGGGACCGCACGAUACACGUUACCUGUUUAGCUGCCCGGCCAGACCCACACGACUCAGACCCAGAUCCCUGUGGCACACCCCAUCUUAGUCGCAGAGUUCCUGGGUCUUGACACUCAACAGAAUCAAACAGACGAAAGAUAGAACACAAUAAACUGCUACAACAAUAACAAAUAAUUGCCCGUUUAGAUGGCAUGUGUA